AGAAAAUAAAAUAAAAUACAUUAUAUAAUGACAAGCAAUGGCUUGUCAAAAUGGCAAUGUGAUAUUGCAUACACUUUAUUAAUAUCUUCUUGCUCCUAUGGUCAUUACACAUGAAGAGUUUCACAUCAUCCUAUCAUAUUAGGAUUCAUAUAUGCUAUUCUUACAUAGAAGCCAACAAGUACAAGAGGAGCUACAUAAGAAAGUAAGUUUUCUAGAGCACAAGAAAUAAAAACAUGUUAGACACCGAGAAAAACAACACAUUAUUAUAAACUAAGUGGUGUUCUUUCUCCUGUCUAUUUAUUUGAUUCAGCCUAUGAGCCAUGAAUGAAAAAUAUUAGCAAUCAUGGCUCUUUUAUUCUUCUCAGUACAUAAUAUUUUGUAGGAGCAACUAGCUAAAAGUUUUUCACCAAAACUGUCCUCUCUGGUAGACCUAUAGAGGAAGAACCACAUUUUUUUGAAGAGAGACAUUUGUUAGCAGCAUCUAAAUCAUUCUCUUCCUCAGCAAUGGUGUCUAGCAUUUUCUUCAUCCUGUGGCGUUUGACUGAGAUAAAUCUUGGUGGAGCAACCUCUGUCAUGAUCCUAGCCAUUUGUAACUUGGCCAUUUCUAAGAAUGGAAGUUUUUUUUAGAAGAAUGAAUGAAUGAAAGAAUUGAUGAUAUAAAAGAAAGCAAAUUAAAGAAGUUCUUUACUAUCUGAUUAGAGGAAGGAAAUGGAAGUUGAAGAGGUGAGGCACAAUGCAAGAGUCAUAUAUGUUGCACCAUCAUUUAUAAGAUUGAUGAAGGUUGUGGCGCACAGUUUAUUGGAUUGUUGUCUCUUUCAGUGGUCGGCUGCUAUGUGGGGCUAGGCUAGCAGAGAGCAUACUUACCUAGUUUGAAAUAGGAGCACAUCUUUUCUCCCAUAAUAUAUACAAUUUUAUAUAUUAAUUUUAUGUUUUACUUUUUUUAACUAAUAAGAAACAAGAGUUUUAUUGAGUUGCAAGAUGUGGAUCCUUUCAGAUUAUAGGUUCGAAAGUAUGGUACAUGGUUUUACAAGUAAAAAUAUAUUAUUGUCGGAAAAUAUGUUAUUCAUCAAUAAAAAUAUACAUG
rnacentral:lncRNA from 1 species